rnacentral:rRNA from 1 species
UACAGAGGGUGCGAGCGUUGUUCGGAAUUAUUGGGCGUAAAGGGCGCGUAGGCGGUGCGGUAAGUCACCUGUGAAAUCUCCUGGCUUAACUGGGAGCCUGCAGGCGAAACUACCGUGCUGGAGUGUGGGAGAGGUGCGUGGGAAUUCCCGGUGUAGCGGUGAAAUGCGUAGAUAUCGGGGAGGAACACCUGUGGCGAAAGCGGCGCACUGGACCAUAACUGACGCUGAGGCGCGAAAGCUAGGGGAGCAAACAGG